CAAACUCCAAGAACGUUAUUGUCAUGGGGGGCACCAGUUUCAAUUGUGUCUUCUUGCAAGCUCCUUGUCAAUGAGAGGCACAAGGAGCACUAAGAAAUUAUAUGUUUUCUUAAGGGUCACAUCACACGAGGAAACUCUCACCCACAGCCAUGAAAUUUCCAAUUGAAUCAAAUGCAAAUUAUACAUAGUGCUCUUCCAAGCCACAGUUCAACCCCCACUUCUUGCCGCUCGCCUUCAGCCCCAGCAAGACGAUUAAAUAUUUUACCUCAAUCCAUAUAUCAGAUCUCGUGCUCAAGAAGACGAUGGUGAAGAGCAUGAUAAUGAUCCAAAUGUAUGUUAACAAUUGGUCCAGUUUAGAAAUCUAAACAGGAAAGCUGAGGGGCCAUUUAGUUUAUACCCAGGCCCACCUCGCCAGAGAUGGUGCGUGCAGAUAUUUUGGCGAACGAUUCCCCUGCCCCUGUUUCGCCUGUCCGUGGACGCAGAAUGAAAGCAGCGACCAGUUUUUUUUGGCAUGACUCCUAUAAUUGGGUUUCAAUCCAAACAGUACCCAGUCAAUGCCGAACUUCUUACUCAAUAUGACUCCUCAGGUUUCAUUUGUUGGGGAGGCAGACAGAAACAACGAUAACUAAUAUUUUUUCUUUUCACUCACAAUAAUAUUGUCAUCAGAUACAAUUGCUAUCAGAGUAUUGAUGUUUGUACUGAAGGAAGUCCAAAAGUCUUAUCGAUGCAGGCAAGACACUUGAUAUGACAAAUUUCAAGUGGAAACGAACAAAUAUUAUGCUUGUUCAUCGCUUGAUGUCUACCCUGACUAUUCUUUCAUUUGAAACUCGCUAAUAACAAGUUUUUACUCUGCUGUUAAAACUGAUGUUGCUAAUUCGGUUCAUAAAAUUAUUGUCGUUAUAAUUUGGCGAUGUAAUACUUUGCCAUAAGCCAAUAUCAAAUUAUGAAGCAUUGCUAUAACUUCCAACGUGGUGCUAGAGCAUUAUAUAUGAAUGUACUUAGUUAAAGGCCAUCCAAAGAUACACAUUUGCAAGGAAACUGCACAAUGUCAAUACGAAUAUGAAAGAUAAUUGGAUAAAUAACUUUGAAAUCUGAUCUUUUUCUGAUGAUAACACAACUUACGCUGAUUUCCAUAAUGAACAGAGAAUAGAAAAAGUGUUGUUGCGGCCAUGACUUGAAUAACAAACCAAAUUCACAAGGUCGGUACUGGACUAUUGGUAAUAUAUAUUCUUUUGGCAGGGAUUUAAAAAUACUUCACAUCUCUUUUUAGUGGAUUUUGUGAUAGGAGUGAGAGUUGAGAGUGAGCGGGUUGGAGGCUGUGGUUGAUUUGUUCAGUUACGAAUGUGAGCGGAAUAUUUUCCCUACUUAAGAAAAAGUGGCAAAUUGGAUAAGGCAGUCAUAUUUUUUUGAUCA